UAAGAGUUUAAGAGAAGGCAGAAAAUUAGGGUGGAACGAACAAUUUGCUUUUUUGUUCUCUGUGUUUCAGUUCUAAUAAUGAACCUCAAUGAUGGGAUGGUACUAAGGUCCUUAAGCAGCCAAUGCAGUUUUUGAAGGCCAUAAGUGAAAGCUAAACUAAGUUAUCCCUUUCUAUUGAAGACUAUCACAGAAAAAAAAAGGCUCCAUCUUCAAAGGAAGUUUGCUAAGGAUUUGAUUCUGGUAGGUGUGUCUUCAGGAGUGCACAUAAAAUGGUACCUCUUCGUGACGGAAAGACAUCUGUGAGCAAAGGGCUUUUCAGUGUAAGCAUGUGCUGGCCUGAGGUCACAACAUAUACACACACAAAGAGCCAGAGAGAGAUAUUGUCUACUAUUUUCAAAUAUUUAGAUAGAAUUAAAUUUGGUUGUAAUGUUAGUUUCAUCAUUUUGGUACUACUCCUGUCCUGGCCUAAUCCACCUUUGGUGACCUUUCUUGCAUAAUCUGAUCAUGGAUCACAGUAUCUAGCCCUUAAUAUGAGCUCCUUUGUCUCAUAAUCUGUUUUUUUUUUUUUUUUCUCGGUUGAUUGGAUUAUUUUGUUGCUAUUGUUAAGACUCCCACCAGUCUGACCUUUUCAGAAGAUCAGUAAGAAUACCAGUUCAUGCUUGCAGAGUGAUCCUGCCUGCAUGUUCACCACCUUCAUGCAUGGUAUAUUUCUGCCAGGUUAGAGUCCAAAAUGUCAAAGCAGUCAGAAAAAUUUAUUCUGGGAAUAGUGUACCAAGAAUGGAAUACAAGAAAACUGAGGGAAGGAGAGAUGGAGAGCAUCAAAUUCAAGUCUGGAGGACAGCAGGUGAAUGACAAUCCCAAUGUUGCAAGGAAAAAAAAGAAAGAUAAGCAAAGAAGACAAUCAGUAAGGGACUUUAUUUUUCUUCGUAACAGUAAGGAUACAGAAUUGUUUUCCAAGUAAAAGACUACUCAAGUAGGUAACACUGAUUGUUCAGAAGAACAGAGCAAAGAAAAAAUAUAAGACAGAAAGAAAAAGGGACCACAUUUUCUCUUCAGUUCAAGAACUUCUUAAUCACUGCAAGGUAUGGAUUUUUGGCCUACCAAUCAGACAAUGACUCAUUUUACUCAUCUGUAAACUCUUAACGUUUACCACUGCAGUGCCACCCUUCUUUGCCAUGAACUUCAGAGGUCUUGGCUAGCUGCUCCUGACUCCUGUCUUGGCAAAAGAAGAUAUCUUAAUAACUCUAGCAUCAGUUUCUGUGGAUGCACUAAUGAACACAAAGAGACCACCCUGACCCAAGAACUGACAGUCACAAGCAGGACUGGGCAUGCCAAAAGAAG